AAUUUGUAGACAAGAUAAGAGUGCCUUCAAUAUUCAAGUAAGUAUUAUUGGAUGGAUUCUAUAAUAGUUUUUAGUACUUGACAAAUCAUGUAUUUAAAAUCCAAGAUUUCUCAUUAUUAAAAUAUAUCUGAUGGCAAUAUUAAAUUAAAUAUUAUUGGA